GCUACGGUGUGUAGUGGUUAGCACAUCUGCCUAGUAAGCAGGAGACCUGGGUUCGAUUCCCAGCUGUGGCA